AUACUUACCUGGUAGGGGAGACACCAUGAUCAGGAAGGUGGUUUUCCCAGGGUGAGGCACAUCCAUUUCACUUUGGGAUGUGCUGACCCCUGCGAUGUCCCCAAAUGUGGGAGACUUGACUGCAUAAUUUGUGGUAGUGGGGGACUGCAUUCGCGCUUUCCCUUG
ensembl:snRNA U1 U1 spliceosomal RNA